UACGUAGGGUGCGAGCGUUGUCCGGAAUUAUUGGGCGUAAAGAGCUCGUAGGCGGCUUGUCGCGUCGGAUGUGAAAGCCCGGGGCUUAACUCCGGGUCUGCAUUCGAUACGGGCAGGCUGGAGUGCGGUAGGGGAGAUCGGAAUUCCUGGUGUAGCGGUGAAAUGCGCAGAUAUCAGGAGGAACACCGGUGGCGAAGGCGGGACUCUGGGCCGAUACUGACGCUGAGGAGCGAAAGCGUGGGGAGCAAACAGG
rnacentral:rRNA from 1 species